GACGGUAAGGGCAAGCGUUAUUCAUCGUUAAUAGGUGUAAAAGGUGCGUAGACGGCUAAUAGAUACAAAUUCAUUUAUAUUUAUGAAAAUAACAAUUUAAUAAAUUGUCCGGCAUAUUAUAUAGAGAUAAGCUUGAGUUGAUGGGAGGUUGAUAGAAUUUUCAAGGGAAUUGUAAAAAGUAGAAAGCUAGCGAAGAAUAUCGAGGGCGAAGGCAAUUUUCCAACAUUAACUGACGUUGAGGCACGAAGGUGUAGGGAUCAAAAGGG
rnacentral:rRNA from 1 species